ACCCGGCCAGGGAUGGAAGCGGCAUCCUUUGUGCAGCGCAGCGGAACAAAGAUACAGCGAACAGCCCGGCUUUCA
rnacentral:sRNA from 1 species